CCUACGGGAGGCAGCAGUGAGGAAUAUUGGUCAAUGGCCGUAAGGCUGAACCAGCCAAGUCGCGUGAGGGAAGAAGGAUCUAUGGUUUGUAAACUUCUUUUAUAGGGGAAUAAAGGUAUCCACGUGUGGAUAUUUGCAUGUACCCUAUGAAUAAGCAUCGGCUAACUCCGUGCCAGCAGCCGCGGUAAUACGGAGGAUGCGAGCGUUAUCCGGAUUUAUUGGGUUUAAAGGGUGCGUAGGUUGUUGUUUAAGUCAGCGGUGAAAGUUUGGGGCUCAACCAUAAAAUUGCCGUUGAAACUGGAAGACUUGAGUGUGUUUGAGGUAGGCGGAAUGCGUGGUGUAGCGGUGAAAUGCAUAGAUAUCACGCAGAACUCCGAUUGCGAAGGCAGCUUACUAAGCCAUAACUGACGCUGAAGCACGAAAGCGUGGGGAUCGAACAGGAUUAGAUACCCCUGUAGUC
rnacentral:rRNA from 1 species